AGAGUUUGAUCCUGGCUCAGAUUGAACGCUGGCGGAAUGCUUUACACAUGCAAGUCGAACGGCAGCACGGGAGCUUGCUCCUGGUGGCGAGUGGCGAACGGGUGAGUAACAUAUCGGAACGUACCCAUUGGUGGGGGAUAACACAUCGAAAGAUGUGCUAAUACCGCAUACGACCUGAGGGUGAAAGGGGGGGAUCGCAAGACCUCUCGCCGUUGGAGCGGCCGAUAUCGGAUUAGCUAGUUGGUGGGGUAAAGGCCUACCAAGGCGACGAUCCGUAGCUGGUCUGAGAGGAUGAUCAGCCACACUGGAACUGAGACACGGUCCAGACUCCUACGGGAGGCAGCAGUGGGGAAUUUUGGACAAUGGGGGCAACCCUGAUCCAGCCAUUCCGCGUGAGGGAAGAAGGCCUUCGGGUUGUAAACCUCUUUCGGCAGGAACGAAACGGUGAGGGCGAAUACCCCUUAUCAAUGACGGUACCUGAAGAAGAAGCACCGGCUAACUACGUGCCAGCAGCCGCGGUAAUACGUAGGGUGCGAGCGUUAAUCGGAAUUACUGGGCGUAAAGCGUGCGCAGGCGGUUGUGUAAGACAGGUGUGAAAUCCCCGGGCUUAACCUGGGAACUGCGCUUGUGACUGCACGACUCGAGUGUGGCAGAGGGGGGUGGAAUUCCACGUGUAGCAGUGAAAUGCGUAGAGAUGUGGAGGAACACCGAUGGCGAAGGCAGCCCCCUGGGUUAACACUGACGCUCAUGCACGAAAGCGUGGGUAGCAAACAGGAUUAGAUACCCUGGUAGUCCACGCCCUAAACGAUGCGAACUAGGUGUUGGAGAAGGAGACUUCUUUAGUACCGUAGCUAACGCGUGAAGUUCGCCGCCUGGGGAGUACGGUCGCAAGAUUAAAACUCAAAGGAAUUGACGGGGACCCGCACAAGCGGUGGAUGAUGUGGAUUAAUUCGAUGCAACGCGAAAAACCUUACCUACCCUUGACAUGCCAGGAACCCUGCUGAGAGGUGGGGGUGCCCGAAAGGGAGCCUGGACACAGGUGCUGCAUGGCUGUCGUCAGCUCGUGUCGUGAGAUGUUGGGUUAA
rnacentral:rRNA from 1 species